rnacentral:rRNA from 1 species
CAUGGCUCAGGACGAACGCUGGCGGCGUGCCUAAUACAUGCAAGUAGAACGCUGAAGGAAGGAGCUUGCUCUUUCCGGAUGAGUUGCGAACGGGUGAGUAACGCGUAGGUAACCUGCCUGGUAGCGGGGGAUAACUAUUGGAAACGAUAGCUAAUACCGCAUAACAGUAGAUAUUGCAUGAUAUCUACUUGAAAGGUGCAAUUGCAUCACUACCAGAUGGACCUGCGUUGUAUUAGCUAGUUGGUGAGGUAACGGCUCACCAAGGCAACGAUACAUAGCCGACCUGAGAGGGUGAUCGCCCACAUGGGGACGGAGACACGCCCCAGACCCCCACGG